UUACAUGUAGAAAUGUCUGCUCCUCAUUCCCUUACGAGCAGGAAUACAUCCAUAACAUGCUACCUUUAAAAAAGGAGUUCUCUGGCUGCCAACAAUACAGAAGAGGUUGAGUGGAAGUAUAUUUCUUCUACAUUU